AAGUAAACAAUGUUUGACAAACACGUUGAAAUUUUUUUCAAAACUCUAGUUAAAUUAAUGAUGCAUUGCAUCAAGCUUUCAGCUUCAACCUCAUGUAAACUAAUUUUCAUGUAGAUUACAUGUUAUUUUCACUAAUUUUGAGUUACGUGAUCCAAUUCAUUAAAAUGGGGACAACAUGAACACAUGAUCAGCAUAUCCAAGCCAAAUCUUCUUACCUGAUGGCUAGUGAAGCAUUACAACGUUAAAGAUUCAACUUUACUCCAGCCAAUGUCAAUUUUGGCUUUCAUCAAUGACAUUCUACAUUUUGAUUUAAACUCUGAACAUCGCUGUAACAAGAUUAACCUUCAAUUUUGGAUUUCAUUGAAAAGCUCUUCAACUGUUGAGCUCAAGCUAAAGAUACAUCUUCUAUGCUUCACCUGUUGAAUAUCAAACAUCUCUCAGGAUUCACCAAGAGCUGUCCACUCCAAACAUAUUUCAUAUCUACGCAUAAAAAGCAAAUUUAUUGAAGUAUUCGUUUAAGAAGCUGGUAAAUGCUUUUUGUCUGACUAUCUAACUCUAAUAUGUCAAAAGUCGAAAGUCACUGUCGUUUGGUUUGUGAAUACAAAAUGGUUUCGCAUUAACCUGGAAAUCAAUGGACUUGUUAUGAGAAGACCCAAAGCUUAUAGUGUUGUGAGAGUCAAGCAAUAAGGAAUGAGAAACGAGUUUCAAGGAACAUAGCUUGCCUCAGAUUAGAGUUAAAUUUCAAUGGAAUUCUGAAUAAGCUUUGAUUAAUUUGACUGUCUGGAUUCACCAGAAAACAGUUUUCGUGUGUUGGAAAAUUAAAAGAGAAACUUUCCCCAUAAUUUUGAUAGGCACUGUACCUGCGAAUGGAACAAACAAAAGUACUUACAAUGUUUACAUCUGCCUUCAACAUUCAAGACAAUCUAGUUUAUCAUGUUUCUGGUGUUAGUAAUUCAGUUAAUUCUAGGUUCACUCUUAUCAGCGAAACUCAUUAAUCAGCAUUUUCUUAGUUUUAUGACAUUAUAAUGCAUUUACUUUAGUCAUUUUAUUUGCAAAUAACGCAGCAAUCAGCCAAUUUUUUUAUUUACCAUUUGUUUCUAAUUAGUCUCAUAAUUGUUUAUUCAUUUUUCUACCAUUUCUUUUUAUAAAAAUCUCUUAUUUACGUGUAACAUUGGUGCAUUCAAUCGGUUCAACUUAUACUGAAUUCACUGAAAAAACCGAUCAGAAAGAAUCUAAAAGUUAAUGGUCUAAUCCACCCUGGAUUACAGUCAGGAUCACCUUUAAAAGCUACAAUUAAACCUUAUCAAUCUUUCAGAUACCAAACAGAACAGUAAUAAAACAUGGUAAAAGAGCCAAUUAAAGACUUAAUAUUUAACAAAUAUCAGAGCAUCUUGAAGAGUGCAUAAUUGGUGUCAUUUCCAGGAGCAAUGCUAAUUCCUUCACAAGACAAAGAAUCUUCCAGAAUCCAUAAGUCAUCUAUUCCAAGCAAUCCACACCAAGUUGAACAAAAUGAAGACGCAAAAACUGAAGCUCUAUGAUGGAUGAAGAAACAGAUUCACAUUGAUAGAGUCAAUAAAUCUGCAAAUUUUUUCGCAAUUUUUCAUCUCAUUUCUUUCUCAUUUGUCCUUGCUUUUUUACAACAUUAUCAUUAUCAUUCUGAUAUAUUUAUAUCAUGCUAUAUUAUAAUUUAUAAACAUAAUAUCAAGAAAGUCUCACAUUUUCCUCCCCUUUUGCCUUACUAAUAAAACAUGGUAAAAAAUGAUACAGUAAAAUGACUGACUGACGAAUGAAUCUCUGCUUAUCUUGAAUAAACUCCCCUAAACUCUCA